rnacentral:rRNA from 1 species
AUUGAAUGCUGGCGGCAUGCCUUACACAUGCAAGUCGAACGGUAACGCGGGGCAACCUGGCGACGAGUGGCGAACGGGUGAGUAAUGUAUCGGAACGUGCCCAGUUGUGGGGGAUAACUGCUCGAAAGAGCAGCUAAUACCGCAUACGACCUGAGGGUGAAAGCGGGGGAUCGCAAGACCUCGCGCAAUUGGAGCGGCCGAUAUCAGAUUAGGUAGUUGGUGGGGUAAAGGCCCACCAAACCAACGAACUGUAGCUGGUCUGAGAGGACGACCAGCCGGACUGGGACGGAGACACGGCCCAGACUCCUACGGGAGGCAGCAGUGGGGGAGUUUGGACAAUGGACGAAAGUCUGAUCCAUCCAUGCCGCGUGCGGGAAGAAGGCCUUCGGGUUGUAAACCGCUUUUGUCAGGGAAGAAACGCUCUGGGUUAAUACCUCGGGGUAAUGACGGUACCUGAAGAAUAAGCACCGGCUAACUACGUGCCAGCAGCCGCCGCGGUAA